GACUCCCCUCCCUUACCUUGCUUUUUAAAAUGCUUUGCUGAAAUCCAGUGGGAAGUGUUGACUUUUUGAGCAUGAGCUAUCCCAGACUCCAGGCUUGGUGCCCUGCAAUAAAUGCUGCAGUUCUGUUCACCACAACUCAGUUCUCCUUUUUCCACCAGUGUCACCACUGUUGGUCCUAUGAGAGUCACGGCCUUGCUGAGAAGGGGAGAGGAAGUUGAAGCAUAUAUUUUGGAGAAUCUGGAGGGUGGAAGAUUUCAUGUAUUAAAGAGCAAGGCCCACUUGGCAAAAUCCAGGUGUUUUACAACUGAACAGGACAUUAAGCAUUGGAUUAUUCUAUCAAGUUCUAAAUUUAAGACCUCCUUAUUCUCAGAAGAGACAGACCAUUCUUACAAAAUUGGGACUGCUCAGCCCUCCUAUUUUAAUUCAAGAACUGGUGGGUGGUUGUCUCCCAUUACUGAGCAAAUGUGCUGGACUCUGUCAAGACAUAGAAGGACUGGGAAUAGCUGAUAAAGCCUCUGUGAGCAGUUUUCGGGAGGAAAGACUGGGAGGAAAUGUACAAAAUAACAAAGCUGACGUCCCACUGCAAGACCCAGAAGUAGAGUUUCU
rnacentral:lncRNA from 1 species